rnacentral:rRNA from 1 species
UUUGCGUCGAAGGUAUACCGGUAAGGAGUGCUGGAGCGAAUAGAAGUGAGCAUGCAGGCAUGAGUAGCGAUAAUUAAUGUGAGAAUCAUUAACGCCGUAAACCCAAGGUUUCCUACGCGAUGCUCGUCAUCGUAGGGUUAGUCGGGUCCUAAGUCGAGUCCGAAAGGGGUAGACGAUGGCAAAUUGGUUAAUAUUCCAAUACCAACAUUAGUGUGCGAUGGAAGGACGCUUAGGGCUAAGGGGGCUAGCGGAUGGAAGUGCUAGUCUAAGGUCGUAGGAGGUUAUACAGGCAAAUCCGUAUAACAAUACUCCGAGAACUGAAAGGCUUUUUGAAGUCUUCGGAUGGAUAGAAGAACCCCUGAUGCCGUCGAGCCAAGAAAAGUUUCUAAGUUUAGCUAAUGUUGCCCGUACCGUAAACCGACACAGGUGGGUGGGAUGAGUAUUCUAAGGCGCGUGGAAGAACUCUCUUUAAGGAACUCUGCAAAAUAGCACCGUAUCUUCGGUA